rnacentral:rRNA from 1 species
CCUAGCCCUUCAGAGGGGACAACAGUUGGAAACGACUGCUAAUACCGCAUACGAUCCAAUCUCGGCAUCGAGACUGGAUGAAAGGUGGCCUCUAUUUAUAAGCUAUCACUGAAGGAGGGGGUUGCGUCUGAUUAGCUAGUUGGAGGGGUAACGGCCCACCAAGGCGAUGAUCAGUAGCCGGUCUGAGAGGAUGAACGGCCACAUUGGGACUGAGACACGGCCCAG